UACAGAGGUUACAAGCGUUGUCCGGAUUUAUUGGGCGUAAAGCGUUUCGUAGGCGGUUAGGAAAGUUACUUUUCAAAUACCACGGCUCAACCGGGGGAAGGGAGGUAAUACUAUCUGACUUGAUUAUUGGUGGGGCUUCUGGAACUGAUGGUGUAGUAGUGAAAUACGUUGAUAUCAUCAGGAACUCCAAGGGCGAAGGCAGGAGCUAACCAAUUAAUGACGCUGAGGAACGACAGCUAGGGGAGCGAAAGGG
rnacentral:rRNA from 1 species